GUGUCAGCCGCCGCGGUAAUACGUAGGGGGCGAGCGUUGUUCGGAUUUACUGGGCGUAAAGAGCGCGUAGGCGGUUCGAUCAGUCGGAGGUGAAAGCCCUCGGCUCAACCGAGGAUCCGCGUCCGAUACUGUCGAACUUGAGUGCAGGAGAGGAGAGCGGAAUUCCCAGUGUAGCGGUGAAAUGCGUAGAUAUUGGGAGGAACACCGGUGGCGAAGGCGGCUCUCUGGACUGCUACUGACGCUGAGGCGCGAAAGCUAGGGGAGCAAACGGGAUUAGAAACCAGCGGAGUAC
rnacentral:rRNA from 1 species